UCUGUGUCCGGGGUGGGAAGGGCCAAGCACAGAGUUAUCUUCUGCUGCCUUCUACCACCUAGCCCUGGCCCAGUUCCUUUGCCAUUUAUCACUUGUUAUCGCUAUUUAUCACUAUUAUUAUAAUCUCUAUUUAUCUAUGGUCCAGGGUACACAGCAGGAGUCUUCCUCCCACUCCCCCCGUGCUGUUCUAAAGAGAGGGUGUGCUUUGUAGGGUGGUUCAUGAUGGAAUCAUGGGUGGGAAACCACGAGCCGUGGGUGGAAAGCUGGAAUGGCACCUGUGGCUGCAGAUUCCUCAAAACAACUGACUUUGGAAAGCACUGCAAUAAGAGACAGAUUAUCCAGUCUCAUAUGUGGGUUCAAGAAGAGGGCUGCAGUUUGGGGGGAAAAAGCUUCUAAGAGCCUGGGCUCAACUCCAAAGAAAUUGGUCUCGAUUUAGUGAAGAGGCUUGGAUGUGUGUGAAACCCAAAUGAAUGGGCAGCAGGACCAGG